rnacentral:rRNA from 1 species
UAAGAAUUUAAAAGUCGAACAGACUUAUUAUUAAGAACACUGCCUCUUAAAAUUUUCUUAAUUCAACAUCGAGGUCGCAAAAUAUAAUAUAGAUGUGAACUCCCCAUUAAAAUUACGCUGUUAUCCCUAAGGUAACUUAAUCUUACUAUCCUUAAUUUAGGGAUCCAAAAUUACAUAAACAAAUGAAUACAAAAGCUAAAGUUAAUUAUUUAACUGCCACCCCAGCAAAAUAUAAAUUAAUAUUAAAAAAUAUGUACAUUAAAACCUAAUAAAAUUUAAUUAUAUAAAGUUCUAUAGGGUCUUAUCGUCCCAAUAAAUCAAUAAAGCAUUUUAACUUUAAAUUUAAAUUUUAACAUUUAAAAAAAUAAAAUAUAGUUCUCAUACAUCCAUUCAUACAAGCUUUCAAUUAAAAAACUAAUUACUAUGCUACCUUUGCACAGUCAAAAUACUGCAGCCAUUUAGAAAUAAACCAUAGGGCAGAAGAUACUUUUAAUAAAAACA